GAGAGCGACCGGUGCUUGCACUGGUCAAUCUAGUGGCGAACGGGUGAGUAACACGUGGGUAACCUGCCCAUCAGAGGGGGAUAACAUCCGGAAACGGAUGCUAAAACCGCAUAGGUCUUCGAACCGCAUGGUUUGAAGAGGAAAAGAGGCGCAAGCUUCUGCUGAUGGAUGGACCCGCGGUGCAUUAGCUAGUUGGUGAGGUAACGGCUCACCAAGGCCGUGAUGCAUAGCCGACCUGAGAGGGUGAUCGGCCACAUUGGGACUGAGACACGGCCCAAACUCCUACGGGAGGCAGCAGUAGGGAAUCUUCCGCAAUGGACGCAAGUCUGACGGAGCAACGCCGCGUGAGUGAAGAAGGUUUUCGGAUCGUAAAACUCUGUUGUUAGAGAAGAACAAGUGCUAGAGUAACUGUUAGCGCCUUGACGGUAUCUAACCAGAAAGCC
rnacentral:rRNA from 1 species